rnacentral:rRNA from 1 species
AAGAAUUUAAAAGUCGAACAGACUUAAAAUUUGAACGGCUACACCCAAAAUUAUAUCUUAAUCCAACAUCGAGGUCGCAAUCUUUUUUAUCGAUAUGAACUCUCCAAAAAAAUUACGCUGUUAUCCCUAAAGUAACUUAAAUUUUUAAUCAUUAUUAAUGGAUCAAUAGUUCAUAAAUUAAUGGUUUUAAAAAUUAAAAGUUUUUUAAAUUUUAAUAUCACCCCAAUAAAAUAUUUUAAUUUAUUAUAAUAAAAAUAAUCUUUAUAAUUAAAAUAAACAAAAUAUAAAGAUUUAUAGGGUCUUCUCGUCUUUUAAAUUUAUUUUAGCUUUUUGACUAAAAAAUAAAAUUCUAUAAAAAAUUUAAAUGAAACAGUUAAUAUUUCGUCCAACCAUUCAUUCCAGCCUUCAAUUAAAAGACUAAUGAUUAUGCUACCUUUGCACAGUUAGAAUACUGCGGCCAUUUAAAAUUUUCAGUGGGCAGGUUAGACUUUAAAUUUAAUUCAAAAAGAC